GGUGAACGCUGGCGGCGUGCUUAAGACAUGCAAGUCGAACGGCAGUCUUCGGACUGUAGUGGCGCACGGGUGAGUAACGCGUAACUGACCUACCCCAAAGUCGCGGAUAACGAUUCGAAAGAAUCGCUAAUACGUGAUGUGCUGUCAGAUUGUGUUCUGCCAGUAAAGAUUGAUUGCUUUGGGAUGGGGUUGCGUUCCAUCAGCUAGUUGGUGGGGUAAAGGCCCACCAAGGCGACGACGGAGAGCCGGCCUGGGAGGGUGGCCGGCCACAGGGGCGCUGAGACACGGGUCCCACUCCUACGGGAGGCAGCAGUUAGGAAUCUGCCACAAUGGGCGAAAGCCUGAUGGAGCGACGCCGCGUGAGGGAUGAAGGUCUUCGGAUCGUAAACCUCUGAAUCAGGGACGAAAGACACUUCGGUGGGAUGACGGUACCUGAGUAAUAGCACCGGCUAACUCCGUGCCAGCAGCCGCAGUAACA
rnacentral:rRNA from 1 species